rnacentral:lncRNA from 1 species
AUAUAUAUAUAUAUAUAUAUAUAUAUAUUAUAUAGAGAGAGAGAGAGAUACAGAGAGAGAGAAAGAUAUAUAUAUAUAUAUAUACAGAGAGAGAGAAAGAUAUAUAUAUAUAUAUAUAGAGAGAGAGAGAGCUACAGAGAGAGAUAUAUAUAUAUAGAGAGAGAGAGAGACCUCAGGGAUGCUCAUAUAGAGCACUUGUUUGUCACUUCUAUCUGUCUAUUUCCAAAACAGAAUAACAGUUUGAGUCGUUGUUGUAAAAUGUCUUAAUGUGGUGCCAUUUUGAGACGCUGCCACGGUGUAUCAUGAAGAAAAAUACUUUUUAUUUUGAAGUACUUAAUGUAUAAUCAUAAUCUUUACAAUGAAAAUAGCAAUGAUGAUAACUAUUUACUGUAUGCUGAUUUAGGUUUGUGAAAUUGAAUUAAUUUAAAAUAAAAGUUCCACUUUUAUAUAAAAAUAUUUGCAACUUGGAUAUAACCACACGGCGACAUGCACAGACUAACAUCAAGGUAUAUCAAAAUAUUUUUUAUCGUUUUUGUAUAAUACUGCAUAAUACUAAUAAUACUCAAAUAUACAGUACCAGUCAAAAGUUUGGACACACCUACUCAUUCCAGGGUUUUUCUUUAUUUUUACUAUUUUCUACAUUGUAGAAUAAUAGUGAAGACAUCAACACUAUGAAAUAACACAUAUGGAAUCAUGUAGUAACCAAAAAAUUGUUAAACAAAUCAAAAUAUAUUUGAGAUUCUUCAAGGUAGCCACCCUUUGCCUUGAUGACAGCUUUGCACACUUUGGCAUUCUCUCAACCAGCUUCAUGAGGUAGUCACCUGGAAUGCAUUUCAAUUAACAGGUAUGCCUUGUUAAAAGUAAAAAUGUGGAUUUUUUUUCCUUCUUAAGGUGUUUGAGCCAAUCAGUUGUGUUGUGACAAGGUAGGGGUGGUUUACAGAAGAUUUGGUGAAAGACCAAGUCCAUAUUAUGGCAAGAACAGCUCAAAUAAGCAAAGAGAAAUGACAGUCCAUCAUUACUUUAAGACAUAAAGGUCAUGUGUUAUUUCAUAGUUUUGAUGUCUUCAGUAUUCUACAAUGUAGAAAAUAGUAAAAAUAAAAAUAAACCCUUGAAUGAGUAGGUGUGUCCAAACUUUUGACUGGUACUAAUAUAUAUAUUAUAUUCUAAUUAAGAAAGAAAGAGAGAAAGACAUCUACUUUUCAAAAGACAACUGUUUGCUUAUAUUAAGUAUUUUAUUGCAUUGAUGGCAAAAAACAGUUUUGUGAAUGAUGAAAUUAUCUCAGCAUUUGUUUUUUUUGCUGCAAGUAGUAACCAAGAGGAAAAGUGGUUACUGGUAAAACGAUUCGGUCUGUGAUGUUGAUAGGAGUGUGUCACCAAUGACCGCUCGGACUAUGCUGGGCCCCUCCAAGAAGCCUGAAGCCUCGUUGUUACUCGUGGUCCCCUCUCUCUCUCUCUCUCUCUCUCUCUCUCUCUCU